rnacentral:tRNA from 1 species
GGAGAGAUGCGAGAGCGGUUGAAUCGGGCGGUCUCGAAAACCGUUGAACCCUCUAGGGUUCCGAGGGUUCGAAUCCCUCUCUCUCCG